rnacentral:rRNA from 1 species
AUGAGGCCAAAGAGGGGGACGGGGACAAAGGUGCAGCGGUUGAUGGUAGUGAGAGGGGAGAAGACAAAGGUGCAGCAGUUGAUGGCAGUGAGAGGGAAGAAGACGACGAUCAAGAAGACGAGGAUGGUUAUGGUGAUGAUAAAGGGGGAUCCAAUGGAGGCAGCGACAACAGCGAUGAUGAUGAUGACAACGCCCCUGGUUCUGGUGGAUUUGCCGAAGUCAAAGAAAAAUGACGAAGCAGAGUCUCAGGGCAGCAUUGAUAUGUUCAAGCUCUGCAACUUGAAGCCAGCUUUGCCAACCACCUUUUCCGUGCCAGAUUUUAGCGACCAAGAUAUGUGUGAGAAGAUCAACUUUGCCAUUGACAAGAGCAUGUUCUUAUCAAGUGAUGCUGAAAAGAAUCAAAUUGACAUGGAGGAAGCAGGAAAGGACCUAAGCUCCAGCAAGAGCAAGGCAGCAUCCAUGGCAAACCCUCACGUGGUCCAGAAGCGUAAAGCAGUUUCAAUGAAGAAGAAUCUGCAGUUGCCUCAAACCAAGGAGAAGAUGGUGAGUGCAGAUGCUGAAAUAAAUAUGGUCAAGGAAGCAGUGCUUCAAACUGAUAUGCCAACUGUGGUGAGCAGAGAGAUCACAGGAGUUCAACAGAUCAAGGGGAAGACUCCCCUUUCAACAGUCCCACCAAAACCACCUAAGCAGCAAAAGAUUGUCAAGUUUGCCAGGGGCACAAAGGGGGAACAGGCCACAAAAGGCUUGGGGUUCAGAGACGAGAGAGAACUUCGCGUCGCGGCCAUUGAUGCAGGGAUGCCAAGUUCUGCUAGGUUGCUGCCAACUCAGACUGGAAAGAUGCCAACUACAGAUACCAGUGUGCCAACUGAUGUGUCAGUUAGCAGCGUGGUCACAGUCAAAACCACCACAGCUGCUCAGGAAGGCACCACUGCAACUGCAAGCCCCAAGGUGCCUACUCAUAGAGAUGCUUCAAUGCCAAACACAAAAGGAGGUGAUCCUACUACCAAAGUGUCGUCCCCAAGAGCUAGCACACAGCAGCCAAGCAAGCCUGCAUCACCAAGAGCUGACUUUCAGCAACCAUUAACACAAGAGGAGGUGUUCAACAUUAUAAGUAGGUGCAAGCCUCCAAGGCCGCCAACUACAACACUAUUGCGAACCAAGUCAGUGAAUGAUGCACCCGUGUUUGUGCCUCAAAGAGAUGCCCUGGUCCUUGAACCCAUACGAAGAUCAAAGUCUUAUCAUGGUGACGGGUUCUGCGAUGCACCAUCUUUUGACCUCGGCAUAGAUGGUGAUGCUCCAGCAGCAGAAACAGCAGAAGCCGGUGUGAUUUGCAUUGAUGAGUGUGAGUUGGACCCAGCAGCUGUGAAUGAAGGAUGCGCUGCUGCAGAUGCUGGCAAGGCAAUAGCUCAAGAGCUAGAUGUUGGAUCACCAGAGAAUUGCCACACCCCGAUAUGCACAGAACCAGAAGUUGGCACGAGCAGUUCUUUGGGACCACCUCUUGCACGAAGACAGAGGAGGGUAAUAACGCCCGCAGCAUCUCAAAGGUCUCCAUUCAUUGACUACAACAAGACGAAGACGUUCAGCUCCAAUGAGGCAGUGAACAAGCUUUACGCUGCCCUCUUGUAUUGGGUCAGGCAUCACCCAGGAGCAAAUGAUGAAGCUACCAGCCCUGAGAUAAUCAGGUUUGGUGCUUUCUACAUUUCUUUAAAGGAGUUAAUUGAUUCGAUGAAGCUGGUUCAAUGGCUGUCAAAAAUUGUUAUUGAGACUGGAAUCUUACACAUCAUGGAUAACUUACCAAAAGGGUCAAAGAAGGUCAUUAUGCCACUGAGGUUUUCUAUGAAUUUACAGCAAGGAAUCCACAACGUGAAUGAGAUAAACAAGAAGUUUGAUUACAAGAACCGUCUCGGCAAGAAAGACUUGGUCAUGCUGCCAGUGCUCGAGUGCGCUGAUGUAACCGAUAAGGAGGGAGGGAGGCAUUAUUGGGUCUUCAAUGUCAACUUGAGGGACGGACGCUUCGAAGUUCUUGAUUCAAACAGGAAGUUGGACAACAUUGAGCUGAUGAACACUGCCUCUACCAUCGCGGGGGGCAGUAUGCCAGCUAUGGAGGAAGCAUUAGCCAAAGUUCAGCAUCGAGCACUUCCAGAUUAUUGA